GAUGAACGCUAGCGGCAGGCCUAAUACAUGCAAGUCGAGGGGCAGCAGGAAUAGCAAUAUUUGCUGGCGACCGGCGCACGGGUGCGUAACACGUAUACAAUCUGCCUUUAACAGGGGGAUAGCCCGGAGAAAUCCGGAUUAAUACCCCAUAAUAGAUCGAAUGGCAUCAUUUGAUUUUGAAAGCUCCGGCGGUUAAAGAUGAGUAUGCGUCUGAUUAGCUAGUUGGUGAGGUAACGGCUCACCAAGGCGACGAUCAGUAGGGGAUCUGAGAGGAUUAACCCCCACACGGAUACUGAGACACGGAUCCGACUCCUACGGGAGGCAGCAGUAAGGAAUAUUGGACAAUGCCCGCAAGGGUGAUCCAGCCAUGCCGCGUGCAGGAAGACGGCCCUAUGGGUUGUAAACUGCUUUUGUCAGGGAAGAAAUCUUCUGGGCUAAUACCCCGGGAGGAUGACGGUACCUGAAGAAUAAGCACCGGCUAACU
rnacentral:rRNA from 1 species